UACGAAGGGGGCUAGCGUUGCUCGGAAUUACUGGGCGUAAAGGGCGCGUAGGCGGAUAUUUAAGUUAGAGGUGAAAGCCCAGGGCUCAACCCUGGAACAGCCUUUAAUACUGGAUAUCUUGAGUUCGGGAGAGGUGAGUGGAACUCCGAGUGUAGAGGUGAAAUUCGUAGAUAUUCGGAAGAACACCAAUGGCGAAGGCAAUGUUCUGGCUCGUUUCUGACGCUCAGGUGCGAAAGCCAGGGGAGCGAACGGG
rnacentral:rRNA from 1 species